GUGGUGCUGGGGACUGAACCCAGGGCCUUGUGCAUGCGAGGCAAGUGCUCCACCAACUGAGCCAUGUCCCCAGCCCCCUGGCAUUUCAUUCCUAACAAAUGGGAAACCCACACGAAGGAAUGAAGCGGCCAUAAUGAGGGUAAAGAGUGAAUGAGAGGGAUGUAAAGAGAAGGUGGCCGUCUGCAAACCAGCAAGAGGUCCCACACAAGCCCCCAUAACUACUGGUGCCUUGCUCUUGGAUUUCCCAGCCUUCACAGAGAAAGGAAACUCUGUUGCUUAAGCCACCCAGGAUACUGUUACAGCAGCCUAAGACCAAGACAGCACCCUUAACCCUCUUACUUCUCUCAGGAUCCUGUGAUGUAACUUCAUUUCAUACCACUAGAAGCAAAGAAGUCACUCUAGUCCACACUGUCUGAAAAUGAUGAAUCUGAAGCUGAAACUCAAAUUAACCUAAAUUUGAAAACGACCUUUCCUGUUUUCUAGUUGUAAGACACUGGACAAGACCCUGCGGAAUCAGAUCAGAACCCUGGCUCACACCUCCAGCCUUGCUCCCUGCAGUCCAAACCUGGUGAACCCAUUCUGGCCUUUUGUCCUCAAGCAUGCAAGGCAUAGUCCUCCUCAUGGACUUUAUUUUCCCUGUCCUUCACAUAGAAAGCUUUCCUCCCUCUUGUUAGAGCACCUGUUCCCUUUGCUCAUUUGUUCUCUACUCAGCAGAUGCUUCCUCGAAGAAUAUUCUCUGAACUAACUUGUUCACCUUGUUCAUUCAACGUGUAUGCCACUUUGUCUCCUUCAAAUAGACUACAAGUUCUAAGAGAUCCGAA